rnacentral:rRNA from 1 species
GUGUCAGCCGGCCGCAGUAAUACCGGCAGCCCAAGUGAUGGCCGAUCUUAUUGGGCCUAAAGCGUUCGUAGCUGGCCGCGCAAGUCCAUCGGAAAAUCCACCCGCCCAACGGGUGGGCGUCCGGUGGAAACUGCGUGGCUUGGGACCGGAAGGCGCGACGGGUACGUCCGGGGUAGGAGUGAAAUCCCGUAAUCCUGGACGGACCACCGAUGGCGAAAGCACCUUGGAAGGACGGAUCCGACAGUGAGGGACGAAAGCUAGGGUCUCGAACCGGAUUAGAUACCCUUGUAGUCC